UUGGAGGGCAAGUCUGGUGCCAGCAGCCGCGGUAAUUCCAGCUCCAAUAGCGUAUAUUAAAGUUGUUGCAGUUAAAAAGCUCGUAGUUGAAUUUCGGGAUUAGUACGUUGGUCGUGCCUUCGGUACGUACUGGUGUUACUGAUUCCUACCUUCUGACGAACCAUCAUGUCAUUAAUUUGGUGUGGCGGGGAAUCAGGACUGUUACUUUGAAAAGAUUAGAGUGUUUAAAGCAGGCUCGCGCUUGAAUACAUUAGCAUGGAAUAAUGAAAUAGGACGUUGAUCCUAUUUUGUUGGUUUCUAGGAUUGACGUAAUGAUUAAUAGGGAUAGUUGGGGGCAUUAGUAUUCAAUUGUCAGAGGUGAAAUUCUUGGAUUUAUUGAAGACUAACUACUGCGAAAGCAUUUGCCAAGGAUGUUUUCAUUAAUCAAGAACGAAAGUUAGGGGAUCGAAGACGAUCAGAUACCGUCGUAGUCUUAACCAUAAACUAUGCCGACUAGGGAUCGGAUGAUGUUAUUUUUAAUGUCUCAUUCGGCGCCUUACGGGAAAC
rnacentral:rRNA from 1 species